rnacentral:rRNA from 1 species
AACGAACGCUGGCGGCAUGCCUAACACAUGCAAGUCGAACGAGACCUUCGGGUCUAGUGGCGCACGGGUGCGUAACGCGUGGGAACCUGCCCUUAGGUUCGGAAUAACUCCCCGAAAGGGGGGCUAAUACCGGAUAAUGUCUUCGGACCAAAGAUUUAUCGCCUUUGGAUGGGCCCGCGUUGGAUUAGCUAGGUGGUAGGGUAAAAGCCUACCAAGGCGACGAUCCAUAGCUGGUCUGAGAGGAUGAUCAGCCACACUGGGACUGAGACACGGCCCAGACUCCUACGGGAGGCAGCAGUGGGGAAUAUUGGACAAUGGGCGAAAGCCUGAUCCAGCAAUGCCGCGUGAGUGAUGAAGGCCUUAGGGUUGUAAAGCUCUUUUACCCGGGAUGAUAAUGACAGUACCGGGAGAAUAAGCUCCGGCUAACUCCGUG